GACGAACGCUGGCGGCGUGCUUAACACAUGCAAGUCGAACGGAAAGGCCCUGCUUUUGUGGGGUGCUCGAGUGGCGAACGGGUGAGUAACACGUGAGUAGCCUGCCCUUGACUUUGGGAUAACUUCAGGAAACUGGGGCUAAUACCGGAUAGGAGCCCCUGCCGCAUGGUGGGGGUUGGAAAGUUUCGGCGGUUGGGGAUGGACUCGCGGCUUAUCAGCUUGUUGGUGGGGUAGUGGCUUACCAAGGCUGUGACGGGUAGCCGGCCUGAGAGGGUGACCGGCCACAUUGGGACUGAGAUACGGCCCAGACUCCUACGGGAGGCAGCAGUGGGGAAUAUUGCACAAUGGGCGGAAGCCUGAUGCAGCAACGCCGCGUGCGGGAUGACGGCCUUCGGGUUGUAAACCGCUUUCGCCUGUGACGAAGCGUGAGUGACGGUAAUGGGUAAAGAAGCACCGGCUAACUACGUG
rnacentral:rRNA from 1 species